AAGCUGAAUUAGAAUUUUCUAAUUAUUCUUUAACAAUUCAGAUAUGUCCUAAGAAUGGUUUGAUUAGGGUACAACUAUAUGAUUUGCAGUAUUUAUUAUAGUUGUAUAUUCUGGUGAUUCUUUGAUCAUAUCCUUGUGGGCAUGCUCUAUCAUGAAAUAAACUACAAGUCAUCCAUUGUACUUCUUGCAGAUUCUCACCAAUGAUUUUCUAUUAAUUCUACUCGGAUAAAUUGGAACCACUCAUUGCAACUAAGAGCUCAAUAGGCAGUUUCCUACAUUUGGCAGCAAAGGUCUUCCCUAAUACAAAGUAAUUUUUCCACUGAAAAAUAAAACUCAUAGGAAAAGAAGAUGAUUUUUAACUGUUGUUCCUUGAGUGAAUUAACUCUCUCUGCUAUGGUGGGAAGAGGAAAAACAACAACAAAAAACAACCUAAUUUCAAUAUUCUCUUUCAUUGUCAAGAACUUUCAACAGGAAUCUGAGAUUAAGACAGAUUUCAUCAAUGUAGGUACUGGCUCUCAAGAAAAUUAUCAAUCAUUCAUGCCAC
rnacentral:lncRNA from 1 species